UACGUAGGGCGCAAGCGUUAUCCGGAAUUAUUGGGCGUAAAGAGCUCGUAGGCGGUUUGUCGCGUCUGCCGUGAAAGUCCGGGGCUCAACUCCGGAUCUGCGGUGGGUACGGGCAGACUAGAGUGAUGUAGGGGAGACUGGAAUUCCUGGUGUAGCGGUGAAAUGCGCAGAUAUCAGGAGGAACACCGAUGGCGAAGGCGGCCAUCUGGACCGGAACUGACGCUGAGGCGCGAAAGCCAGGGGAGCGAAUGGG
rnacentral:rRNA from 1 species